CCUACGGGAGGCUGCAGUGGGGAAUAUUGGACAAUGGGGGAAACCCUGAUCCAGCAAUGCCGCGUGAAUGAAGAAGGCCUUAGGGUUGUAAAGUUCUUUCACCUGUGAAGAUAAUGACGGUAGCAGGAGAAGAAGCCCCGGCUAACUCCGUGCCAGCAGCCGCGGUAAGACGGAGGGGGCUAGCGUUGUUCGGAAUGACUGGGCGUAAAGGGCGCGUAGGCGGUUUUUUAAGUGAGGCGUGAAAGCCCUGGGCUUAACCCAGGAGGUGCGUUUCAGACUGGAAGACUUGAGUGCGAGAGAGGAAAGUGGAAUUUCUAGUGUAGAGGUGAAAUUCGUAGAUAUUAGAAAGAACACCCGUGGCGAAGGCGGCUUUCUGGCUCGCAACUGACGCUGAGGCGCGAAAGCGUGGGGAGCAAACAGGAUUAGAUACCCCAGUAGUC
rnacentral:rRNA from 1 species